UUUCCUUUUCUUUUACCAUUUCGUGGCUGAACACCCGUACUGCAAAUUGUGGUAGAGGUGCCUAGAGGUUAUCAGUUCUCUUUUUUAAUUCAGUGCGGGUCACUUGAUUCUCCUACUAUAGUCCACAAAUGGAAAGGUUAACAUUGUCUCACAGUAGAUUAUUAUUUUUUUUUUUUUUGCUAGUUACGCUAUUUGUCCAAGAUCCUGAAAUUUGAUAUGGGUUACAGGAAUUUGCAACCACAAACAAAUCACUAUUCCAAAAUUGAAAGCCUACCUACCGAUUUGAAGCCCCAAACAAAUCACUAAAGAAGAAACUGAUGUAUCGACUCACCAAUCGAAAGUUUCCCUAUGCAGAGAUAGACAUGCUUUAGGAAGUAACAUGAAGAAAAUGUAGAAUCAGUAUGUAUAGGGAGUAACAUGAAGAAAAUAUAGAAACAGGUCCCCUGGAAAUGCGUAUGUUGAAGGCGAUGCAUCAAGUGCGAGUUAUUUCCUAGCAGGCGCAGCAGUCACCGGUGGCACUGUUACGGUUGAAGGUUGCAGCACAAGCAGUUUACAGCAUCAAACUGGCUGCAGUUGCUUCUCAUAAGGAACACAUAAAUCUGGAGCAAUGGCUGAACGAAAAUUUGAGCACAUACAAGGAUAUUUUUUUGAGGAUUGCCUCAAGUUCUUAAAAGAAAUACCUUCUGUAGCAACAAAUGAUGCAUCUGCCAAUCCUUUCCAACAUUCCAGCUCUGUCAUGAAUCUUUAUCUAGAGACAAGUUCUACUCUUUUGAAGCUCCUUCAAGCCCAUUUUGGCCAGCUCAUCUCCCACCAAUUUUCUAAGGAAUUGAGAAGGUUGCAGGCAUUAUCUGUGCAUGCUAAUCCAAGACUGCAAAAUGGUGGAGCUACAGAUUCAUCAAGACAUGAUGCAUCAUAUCUGAUUAUUCACUGGCCUCUUCAGAUCAAUAGAAAAUAAUCUUUUUUAGCAUCUCUAUCCAAACACAGUUCAAAAUCACAUUGCAAACCUUGCUGGGAACAAAACUCUAGUUCUGCCUGUGCCUGCAUUUAACGUCAUCAAUGGAGGAUCACAUGGUUUCACUAUCAACCUGAAUUUUACGAACUUUGCUAGGAACAGAACUCGAUGGGGUGUUAAGAAGCCUUAAAUCAUGAAAAAUUUUGUCACGAUCUUGUCGAAUGCAGGUCUUGGGAUGGCCAUGUUUAGUCUCGAUAAGAUCAUUGAUAUACUCAUCAUGUUCAGUCUCGGUAAGAUCAUUGAUAUGCUCAUUCGACGCGAGGGGUGUCAUCAAGAAAUAUGACAAUCCCGAACAAAGUAAGUUUGCUUAUUCUAUGUACUUGCUAUGAAUUUCUUAAAUCUAUAUAUGCUUUCUCAUCACCGUGCCUUCUUUUCUUGCAAUUCUUGAAGAAUUCUUUUAUUUAAGACUUGAGUUCUAUGUAAAGAGAAAGGUGAGCUUUGAUCUAGGCCCCCCAUUUUUUCUUUUUGGUAAUUGAGAAGAUGGUAGUAUUGACUUGCUA